AACCACUAAUAAAAUAAGAACGGAGAACCAUUUUAAGCCAUUCGAUCAUCAAGAUCUACGGUGGAUGCAUCAUCUUGGUGAAUGGAUGAAGGUGCUGGGUUCGAAUCCUGAAGGGAGCAAAAAAAUUAUUUUUUUCUGAUGCAUUAAAUUUAAUAGCGGAUGCAUUAAUUUGUAUAGCAGAUGCAGUAAUUUUAUUGGUUUUUAUGUUCUCACGAUAAUUGUGGUUCUCACUAUAACCACACCCUAUAUUUAUAUAGUCUUUUAUUAUUAUAAUUUAUCUCACUAUACUUUAUUUUGUAGAUUCCGGCUCUCCUUCUGAUUAAAUUUUCACAAAUUAAAUAUAUAAUUUUCAAGUUUUGGAUACUCUAGAUGAUUAUUAUUAUUAUUAUUAUAUAAUUAAAGGUGGGAACAUUACCCACUGCACGCCGGCCUUCCUUCUCCCACCACUCCGAGCCAUUGCCGCGAUCUGCUUCGCCGGACCACCCGACCCUCCUUCCCCCUUCCCCCACCGCAGCGAUCUUCCCUUCACACCGCCGCGAUCAACUGCUGAAGCCCCAAUUUCGUCCCCAAAUCCAUUCCCUUCCCUUCGCCGUCGCUGAUGGCCCGUUCUUCGUGUGAACAUCGACGAGUGAGAUAUUCCAAUGAAUGUCGCGUACGGGAUUCCCCCUUCGCUGUCUUUUCUGCGCACCGGCUCUCCCUUGCCCACCGCUCCGAUCUGCCCCUUCCUCCCACCGCUGCGAUAUGCCCCUCUGACCGCCGCGAUCUGCAUACUCUGAAUGUGCUCAUAAAUUUAAUACAUCUGCACCGAAAUUGACUCCUCUGCCGAGAAUUUCAGGAACUUACUCGGCCCGCCUCUAGCCUCUGCUUCAUCCUUUGAUUGUCCUCCAGUUUCGAAAUAAGCCGUCAAGGAAUUCAAAGUAUGUCUCAAUCCAGUUACGCGCUGACGUGGCAAGUAUUUGGGGUUUAGUGGCACUUAGGCUAGCAGAUGAUGUGAUAUUACCUUUCAACUACCUCUCUUAUGCUCACGAGCUUCAGGCAAUGGAAAAGACGCCUAGGAUGAGAAUUGGGGGAAGUGUUCAAAAUGGAAUUUUAGCCAAUCGGGUUCCUACCCACACAUCAAAAUUGGUGAGUAGGUUUCAAGAGUUGAAAUAGGAUCCUACUAUGGGAGUUGAAAUGCACUUACUUUUAUAUUGAGAUCAAUGAAAGAAAAUGGAAAUUGAAAGAUGCACAUCCCAUCCACUAUACUUCAAGCAACGAGUUAGUACCAUAGCCCUCAAGAUGAUAGGAUGGAUGACAGAGGAAGUAAUGGAAGACAUUGUCGAAAUUGUACCAGACAUCAAAAAAUUCAUCUCUAAACUCUUAGUAGUAGGGAAAUAUUAUGUUUAUGGAAAUAAUUCAAUGACAGUUGUUCCGAACAAAAAGAGGAAGAGUGCGAGCGGUGUUUAGUGUUGCUUAGACAAUUUUUGUUUUAUGUGAUGUUUUUCUAAGUUGUUUCAAUGAUAAUUGUUAUCUAUCUUUUUUUUUUAUCAUACAAUUCUUACAUUAUAGCGCAUUAUUUUUCAA